rnacentral:tRNA from 1 species
GCCUCUGUAGCUCAGUUGAUUAGAACGCUGCAUUGGAAUCGCAGGGCCGUAGGUUCAAUUCCUACCAGAGGAC